rnacentral:snRNA from 1 species
GCUCACUUUGGCAGCACAUAUACUGAAGCAACACAGAGAAUAUUAGUGUGGCCCUUGCGCAAGGAUGACCUGCAAAUUCGUGAAUCAUUCCAUAUUUUU